rnacentral:rRNA from 1 species
AGAGCUUGAUCUUGGCUCAGGAUGAACGCUGGCGGCGUGCUUAACACAUGCAAGUCGAACGGGUUUUUAUUAUCAAAGCUUCGGCCUAGAUGAUAAAAACUAGUGGCAAACGGGUGAGUAAUGCAUAGGCAACCUACCUUUAAGACUGGGAUAACUCUCCGAAAGGGGUGCUAAUACCGGAUAUUUUCUAGAAAACGCCUGUUUUUUAGAGGAAAGAUUUAUCGCUUAAAGAGGGGCUUAUGUCUGAUUAGCUUGUUGGUGGGGUAAAGGCCUACCAAGGCAGUAAUCAGUAGCUGGUCUGAGAGGACGAUCAGCCACACUGGGACUGAGAUACGGCCCAGACUCCUACGGGAGGCAGCAGUGGGGAAUAUUGCGCAAUGGGGGCAACCCUGACGCAGCAACGCCGCGUGAAUGAUGAAGUCUUUCGGGAUGUAAAGUUCUGUCAAAAGGCAAGAUAAUGACUACCUUUAGAGGAAGCUCCUGCUAACUACGUGCCAGCAGCCGCGGUAAUACGUAGGGAGCAAGCGUUAUCCGGAUUUACUGGGCAUAAAGCGCGUGUAGGUGGUUUCUUAAGUUAGAUGUUAAAUUCCUUGGCUUAACCGAGGUUCGCAUUUAAAACUGGGAGGCUAGAGGUCAGGAGAGGGAAGCGGAACUCAUGGUGUAGCGGUGAAAUGCGUAGAUAUCAUGAGGAACACCAGUGGCGAAGGCGGCUUCCUGGACUGAUGCUGACAUUGAGACGCGAAAGCGUGGGGAGCAAACAGGAUUAGAUACCCUGGUAGUCCACGCUGUAAACUGUGUUCACUAGGUGUAGAAGGUAUCGACCCCUUCUGUGCCAAAGAUAAUUCGUUAAGUGAACCGCCUGAGUAGUACGACCGCAAGGUUAAAACUUAAAAGAAUUGACGGGGGCCCGCACAAGCAGUGGAGCAUGUGGUUUAAUUCGACGAUACACGAAGAACCUUACCAGGGCUUGACAUAUUUUGGAAUCUUUUAGAGAUAAGAGAGUGCCAGCAAUGGAACCAUUUUACCGGUGGUGCAUGGCUGUCGUCAGCUCGUGUCGUGAGAUGUUGGGUUAAGUCCCGCAACGAGCGCAACCCUCGUCUUGUGUUGCCAGCACGUUAUGGUGGGAACUCACAAGAGACUGCCUGUGGAAAGCAGGAGGAAGGUGAGGAUGAGGUCAAGUCAUCAUGCUCCUUACGCCCUGGGCUACACACAUGCUACAAUGGUUAGUACAAAGGGUCGCGAAGCCGCGAGGUGGAGCUAAUCCCAUAAAACUAGCCUCAGUUCAGAUUGUAGUCUGCAACUCGACUACAUGAAGUUGGAAUUGCUAGUAAACGCAGAUCAGCUAUGCUGCGUUGAAUACGUUCCCGGGCCUUGUACACACCGCCCGUCACACCAUGAGAGUCAGAAAUAUCCGAAGCCAACGUACCAACCCGCAAGGGAGGUAGUUGUCGAAGGUAGAAUUGGCGAUUGGGGUGAAGUCGAAACAAGGUA